AGUGAACGCUGGCGGUAGGCCUAACACAUGCAAGUCGAACGGCAGCACAGUAAGAGCUUGCUCUUACGGGUGGCGAGUGGCGGACGGGUGAGGAAUACAUCGGAAUCUACUUUUUCGUGGGUGAUAACGUAGGGAAACUUACGCUAAUACCGCAUACGACCUACGGGUGGAAUCAUGGGAUCUUCGGACCUUGCGCGAUUGAAUGAGCCGAUGUCGGAUUAGCUAGUUGGCGGGGUAAAGGCCCACCAAGGCGACGAUCCGUAGCUGGUCUGAGAGGAUGAUCAGCCACACUGGAACUGAGACACGGUCCAGACUCCUACGGGAGGCAGCAGUGGGGAAUAUUGGACAAUGGGCGAAAGCCUGAUCCAGCCAUACCGCGUGGGUGAAGAAGGUCUUCGGGUUGUAAAGCCCUUUUGUUGGGAAAGAAAAGCAGCAGGUUAAUACCCCGCUGUUCUGACGGUACCCAAAGAAUAAGCACCGGCUAACUUCGUG
rnacentral:rRNA from 1 species